AGAAUCAACGCUGGCGGCGUGCCUAACACAUGCAAGUCGAACGCGAAAGUCCCGAAAGGGGCAAGUAGAGUGGCAAACGGGUGAGUAACGCGUGGGUGACCUGCCUUCGAGCGGGGGAUAACGGUUCGAAAGGACGCUAAUACGCAUAACAUCCUGCCUUUGAAUAGGUGGAGAUCAAAGCUGGGGAUUCGCAAGAACCCGGCACUUGAAGAGGGGCCCGCGUCUGAUUAGCUAGUUGGUGAGGUAACGGCUCACCAAGGCAACGAUCAGUA
rnacentral:rRNA from 1 species